AGAAGAGCAAUUUGAAUAUAAAUUUGAUCGUGAUCUUCGCCUACCUUCUGUGAAUAUUGGUGCACAUGGUUAGGUGAUUUCAAAGAGGCAGACAACAUUGGACCCAAUAAAGAUUAUGUUAGAGUGAUGAUCUUGUGCAUUUGCAGGAGAGAGUCCAGGAGUGACUAAACUCUGAUUCUAACGAGAUGUCCCACUAGGGUUUAAUCUCCACUUCCAGAAGUUUCAGACAUAUCGUUCUCUUUGUCAUUGCAUUCUCGUUUUCGGAGGUUCGGGUUCCUCAAUCUGGUGGAGUGAGUGGAAUCGUGGUGCGUGUGCGGACACUGCAGAGAGCGUUAGUUCCGCUCUAUCUUCUGCCAUUCGUGUUACUGACAGGAAAGCAUUCUCGUCGCGUAAUUUGCGAGGAUGGAUUGUGCUUGAGGGCCUUGUUGGGAGACGUUGGGAGUGUAAAUGGAAUUUGGUUGAGACGCGCUUAUGAUUCUCUGGACGAGAGGGUUUUCGCUUGAAUCCAUACAAGCUUACAUAAACUAUUGGAGAUACGUGCUCCAUGUGCUUGUAAGACUAGGAAAAUUGGAUUUCGUCUUCGCGGGUUUGUGCUUAUGCGUUUGACUUCAUUGUGACCGUUUACGCACACUCUGUUAUUGAUGCUCUUGACUGCUAGGCAAUAAUAUUCAUAGUUCCGAUUUUCCACUGCCGUCUUUAUUAAAGAGGAAAGUCUGCAUGACUGAAAUUGAAAUCUCUUUUUUCGUACUUGUCCUCAUCCUCUGUCUCAUUUUCUAUGGCUAGCCAUGUCACCGGUCUGCUCUUUGAAGAUACACUAAGCAUUACUUUCUGCUCAUAGUUUCUUUUAUCGAGAUCAAAUGCCGAUGCAGAUGAAGAGAUUCCUAGAUGGUGUGUCUACUCGCCUUUACACAUGUAGCCAAGAGAGGUUUUCUGUUACUUCGUUGCCUCUUUCAACUUGGCAGUCUUCUUUUCUCAGUGAUGGACACUUUGCUGCUUGAAUAAUCUAGUUGUGCUUAAAGCUUUAUAAAGAUUAGGAUGCCAAUUAUUGGUGCCAGAUUGCACCAUCCUACCUCCUUAACGCUCUCUCAAAGGUCUUCAUUUGACAAUCGCUUAUUGCUAGCAUUUACAGAAGGGUCCCAGGUAUAGCAGAAACCCUUCGAUGUUUCGACCGGUGAACGGUUCCAGAAAAAUCUCUUGCUACUUUUGCUGUGGUUGAUAUUGGCAACUUCCACUCAUUGUUACUAACUUUGCAGUGGAGUAUCUGAGACCUGUGGCUAGGUGAGCGAAGUGGAUGUGUACAACGAAGGUUGGGGCACAUUCUAUGAAAAACCCUGGAUUGGUGUUGCUUGAUCAUAAGAGGGACUGAUAGCCAUCGGUGGUGCGGAACGUGUUGUCACUGUCAUGGAUCUCAUUGCUUUGAGGCCUCCUUGCAGGCUAGAGUGAAGAUGGCACAAUUUAAGCAGGCCAUGCGACAGGGGACGCAGACCUUGGCUUGUAAGCUUUGGACCAAGAUCCAACACAUGUCCCUGUGCCCUACCUGUGUGCACAAUUAGGAAUUCAUGUUAGAUAGCAAAUGAAGAAAUAAGAUUUAAUAACAGUUUAAAGAGUAUCUUUGUGGAAGAAAUAAUUAAUGAGAUUAAGUCACAGAUUGCAUAUACUAGGAGAACCUCGAAAGCCUGAUGAGACAAAAAGAAUUCCUUUUGUUUUCUUACUUGGGUACUUUUUACAUCCAAAGCUGUGAGAUUACUUUUUAUGACGAAAUUUCCUAUUAAUGGAAAUAUGUUCAUAUGAUUGUUCCAUAUUAUUGUGACUAUUUGGCAAAAUGUGCAUGAAAGAUUUAUGCACAAUCAAGCAAAGUAUAA